rnacentral:misc_RNA from 2 species
UCGUACAACCGAGGUGCAAAGGCUGUCGCUGACCCCCCAAAGGUUGUGCACGCUCGAGCACUCUCACACAAUCCAUCUCACCUUUGUGCAUCACCGCGUGGGUCUUCCUUUGCAGGACGGCUCGCGUUUUCACAUAAUACUCGAUACAGUGUAGAAUGUUCCUUUUGCGCUCACACGCAAUCAAUA